rnacentral:tRNA from 1 species
GCUCGAGUGGUGGAAUUGGUAGACACGCCGGACUUAAAAUCCUGUGCUCUUUUUGGGCGUGCGGGUUCAAGUCCCGCCUCGAGUA